CCCGCUGAACUUAAGCAUAUCAAUAAGCGGAGGAAAAGAAACUAACAAGGAUUCCCCUAGUAACUGCGAGUGAAGCGGGAAAAGCUCAAAUUUAAAAUCUGGCAGCCAUUUUACGGUUGUCCGAGUUGUAAUCUAGAGAAGUGCUUUCCGUGCUGGACCGUGUACAAGUCUCUUGGAAUAGAGCAUCAUAGAGGGUGAGAAUCCCGUCUUUGACACGGACUACCAGUGCUUUAUGUGAUGCGCUCUCAAAGAGUCGAGUUGUUUGGGAAUGCAGCUCAAAAUGGGUGGUAAAUUCCAUCUAAAGCUAAAUAUUGGCGAGAGACCGAUAGCGAACAAGUACCGUGAGGGAAAGAUGAAAAGAACUUUGGAAAGAGAGUUAAACAGUACGUGAAAUUGUUGAAAGGGAAGCGCUUGCAACCAGACCUGCCUGCAGUUGCUCAUCCGGGCUUUUGCCCGGUGCACUCUUCUGCUGUCAGGCCAGCAUCAGUCCGGGCGGUCGGAUAAAGGCUUCGGGAAUGUAGCUCCUCUCGAGGAGUGUUAUAGCCCGUUGCGAAAUGCGGCCAGCCUGAACUGAGGUCCGCGCUUCGGCUAGGAUGCUGGCGUAAUGGUUGUAAGCGGCCCGUCUUGAAACACGG
rnacentral:rRNA from 1 species